rnacentral:piRNA from 1 species
UUGAAGGCAGAUCUCAGACAAGGUUC